UGGCAAAAUUAGCCGACUUCGUCGAG
rnacentral:piRNA from 1 species